rnacentral:tRNA from 1 species
GCCGUCGUAGCUCAGCCUGGGAGAGCACUCGACCAAAAAACUAAUUUUUGGGGUGAAGCUGAAGACCGAGCUGUCGUGAGCUCAAAUCUCACCGGCGGCA